rnacentral:rRNA from 1 species
UACGUAGGGUGCAAGCGUUGUCCGGAAUUAUUGGGCGUAAAGCGCUCGUAGGCGGUCUGUCACGUCGGCCGUGAAAAUCCAGGGCUCAACCCUGGACCUGCGUUCGAUACGGGCAGACUAGAGUUCGGUAGGGGAGACUGGAAUUCCUGGUGUAGCGGUGAAAUGCGCAGAUAUCAGGAGGAACACCGAUGGCGAAGGCAGGUCUCUGGGCCACUACUGACGCUGAGAAGCGAAAGCAUGGGGAGCGAACAGG